rnacentral:rRNA from 1 species
AAUACUUAGGAAUCUACCUAGUAGUGGGGGAUAGCACGGGGAAACUCGUAUUAAUACCGCAUACGACCUACGGGAGAAAGGGGGCAGUUUACUGCUCUCGCUAUUAGAUGAGCCUAAGUCGGAUUAGCUAGAUGGUGGGGUAAAGGCCUACCAUGGCGACNAUCUGUAGCUGGUCUGAGAGGAUGAUCAGCCACACCGGGACUGAGACACGGCCCGGACUCCUACGGGAGGCAGCAGUGGGGAAUAUUGGACAAUGGGGGAAACCCUGAUCCAGCCAUGCCGCGUGUGUGAAGAAGGCCUUUUGGUUGUAAAGCACUUUAAGCAGUGAANAANACUCCUCGGUUAAUACCCGUGGACGAUGACAUUAGCUGCAGAAUAAGCACCGGCUAACUCUGUGCCAGCAGCCGCGGUAAUACAGAGGGUGCAAGCGUUAAUCGGAAUUACUGGGCGUAAAGGGAGCGUAGGUGGCUCGAUAAGUCANAUGUGAAAUCCCCGGGCUCAACCUGGGAACUGCAUCUGAUACUGUUGAGCUAGAGUAUGUGAGAGGAAGGUAGAAUUCCAGGUGUAGCGGUGAAAUGCGUA